rnacentral:rRNA from 1 species
UGGGGAAUAUUGGACAAUGGGGGCAACCCUGAUCCAGCGAUGCCGCGUGAGUGAAGAAGGCCUUCGGGUCGUAAAGCUCUUUAGGUUGGGAAGAAGGUUUUAGUUGGAUAAAGACUAGGACUUGACGGUACCGACAGAAUAAGCACCGGCAAACUCUGUGCCAGCAGCCGCGGUAAUACAGAGGGUGCGAGCGUUAAUCGGAAUUACUGGGCGUAAAGGGCGCGUAGGCGGUAACAUGUGUGUGAUGUGAAAGCCCCGGGCUUAACCUGGGAAGUGCAUCGCAAACUAUGUAACUGGAGUAUAUGAGAGGGUGGCGGAAUUUCCGGUGUAGCGGUGAAAUGCGUAGAGAUCGGAAGGAACGUCGAUGGCGAAGGCAGCCACCUGGCAUGAUACUGACGCUGAGGCGCGAAAGCGUGGGGAGCGAACAGGAUUAGAUACCCCCGUAGUCC